ACGCGAUGCAUCUAGAUUGCGGAUCCGCGGCCGCAGAGUUUGAUCCUGGCUCAGAUUGAACGCUAGCGGGAUGCUUUACACAUGCAAGUCGAACGGCAGCACGAGAGAGCUUGCUCUCUUGGUGGCGAGUGGCGGACGGGUGAGUAAUAUAUCGGAACGUGCCCAGUAGCGGGGGAUAACUACUCGAAAGAGUGGCUAAUACCGCAUACGCCCUACGGGGGAAAGGGGGGGAUUCUUCGGAACCUCUCACUAUUGGAGCGGCCGAUAUCGGAUUAGCUAGUUGGUGGGGUAAAGGCUCACCAAGGCAACGAUCCGUAGCUGGUUUGAGAGGACGACCAGCCACGCUGGGACUGAGACACGGCCCAGACUCCUACGGGAGGCAGCAGUGGGGGAAUUUUGGACAAUGGGGGAAACCCUGAUCCAGCCAUCCCGCGUGUAUGAUGAAGGCCUUCGGGUUGUAAAGUACUUUUGGCAAAGAAGAAAAGGUAUCUCCUACACGAGAUACUGCUGACGGUAUCUGCAGAAUAGCACCGGCUAACUACGUG
rnacentral:rRNA from 1 species